rnacentral:rRNA from 1 species
ACGAGUUUGAUCAUGGCUCAGGAUGAACGCUAGCGGCAGGCCUAAUACAUGCAAGUCGAACGGUAAGGCCCUUCGGGGGUACACGAGUGGCGGACGGGUGCGUAACGCGUAUGCAACAUGCCUUCAACGGGGAUAUGCCAGGGAAACUUGGUGCAAUACCCCAUGGUAUUCACGGGUCACAUGGCCUGUGGAUUAAAACUCCGGUGCUGGGAGAUUGGCAUGCGUGACAUUAGCUAGUUGGCGGGGUAACGGCCCACCAAGGCGACGAUGUCUAGCUGGUCUGAGAGGAUGAUCAGCCACACUGGGACUGAGACACGGCCCAGACUCCUACGGGAGGCAGCAGUAGGGAAUAUUGGACAAUGGGCGGAAGCCUGAUCCAGCCAUGCCGCGUGAGGGAAGAAGGUCCUCUGGAUUGUAAACCUCUUUUGGCGGGGGACAAACCACCACUACACGUGGUGCUGAGGGUACCCGCAGAAUAAGCACCGGCUAACUCCGUG